rnacentral:rRNA from 1 species
CAGUAGCCACGGGAAUACGUAGGGUACAAGCGUUAAUCGGAAUUACUGGGCGUAAAGCGUGCGCAGGCGGUUAUAUAAGACAGAUGUGAAAUCCCCGGGCUCAACCUGGGAACUGCAUUUGUGACUGUAUAGCUAGAGUACGGCAGAGGGGGAUGGAAUUCCGCGUGUAGCAGUGAAAUGCGUAGAUAUGCGGAGGAACACCGAUGGCGAAGGCAAUCCCCUGGGCCUGUACUGACGCUCAUGCACGAAAGCGUGGGGAGCAAACAGGAUUAGAUACCCCCGUAGUCCCUGUCUCUUAUAC